rnacentral:lncRNA from 1 species
UAAUCCCCAUUAUAGAAAAGGGAAAAAGCAAAAAAUCACAAUCAGAUGAGGAAUAAGCAAAUUUAACAACACACUUAUGAUUAACUUAGAAGAACUCGCAAGAGUUGGCAUUGAAAUUCCAAAAACAAAAGAAAAUGAAAUUUUACCUUCAACUCGAAGAAGAGGAAGAAAGUAGAUAAAUCGAAGAUGAGAAGUGAUUGUG